rnacentral:rRNA from 1 species
GACGAACGCUGGCGGCGUGCUUAACACAUGCAAGUCGAACGAUGAAGAAAAGAAUCGAAGCUUCGGCAGAAAUUCAUUUCGGAUUAGUGGCGGACGGGUGAGUAACGCGUGAGCAACCUACCUCUUACAAAGGGAUAGCCUCGGGAAACCGGGAUUAAUACCAUAUAACAUUGUGACGAAGCAUUUCGAUGCAAUCAAAGCUACGGCGGUAAGAGAUGGGCUCGCGUCCCAUUAACCGGAUGGUGAGGUAACGGCUCACCAUAGUGACGAUGGGUAACCGGCCUGAGAGGGUGAACGGUCACACUGGAACUGAGACACGGUCCAGACUCCUACGGGAGGCAGCAGUGGGGAAUAUUGCACAAUGGAGGGAACUCUGAUGCAGCGACGCCGCGUGAGUGAUGAAGGAAUUCGUUUCGUAAAACUCUGUUCUAUGGGAAGAAAAGGACUGUACCAUAGGAGAAAGCUCCGGCUAAAUACGUG